AAAUUGAAGAGUUUGAUCAUGGCUCAGAUUGAACGCUGGCGGCAGGCCUAACACAUGCAAGUCGAACGGUAACAGRAAGCAGCUUGCUGCUUUGCUGACGAGUGGCGGACGGGUGAGUAAUGUCUGGGAAACUGCCUGAUGGAGGGGGAUAACUACUGGAAACGGUAGCUAAUACCGCAUAACGUCGCAAGACCAAAGAGGGGGACCUUCGGGCCUCUUGCCAUCGGAUGUGCCCAGAUGGGAUUAGCUUGUUGGUGGGGUAACGGCUCACCAAGGCGACGAUCCCUAGCUGGUCUGAGAGGAUGACCAGCCACACUGGAACUGAGACACGGUCCAGACUCCUACGGGAGGCAGCAGUGGGGAAUAUUGCACAAUGGGCGCAAGCCUGAUGCAGCCAUGCCGCGUGUAUGAAGAAGGCCUUCGGGUUGUAAAGUACUUUCAGCGGGGAGGAAGGGAGUAAAGUUAAUACCUUUACUCAUUGACGUUACCCGCAGAAGAAGCACCGGCUAACUCCGUGCCAGCAGCCGCGGUAAUACGGAGGGUGCAAGCGUUAAUCGGAAUUACUGGGCGUAAAGCGCACGCAGGCGGUUUGUUAAGUCAGAUGUGAAAUCCCCGGGCUCAACCUGGGAACUGCAUCUGA
rnacentral:rRNA from 1 species